AUACGUAGGUGGCAAGCGUUGUCCGGAUUUACUGGGCGUAAAGAGUAUGCAGGCGGAUAUUUAAGUCAGAUGUGAAAUUCCCGGGCUUAACCUGGGAGCUGCAUUUGAUACUGGAUAUCUAGAGUGCGGGAGAGGAAAGUGGAAUUCCUAGUGUAGCGGUGAAAUGCGUAGAGAUUAGGAAGAACACCAGUGGCGAAGGCGACUUUCUGGACCGUAACUGACGUUGAGGCUCGAAAGCGUGGGGAGC
rnacentral:rRNA from 1 species